UGGGAUUAAAGGUGUGUUACCGUUGUUUGU
rnacentral:piRNA from 1 species